AGCGAACGCUGGCGGCAGGCCUAACACAUGCAAGUCGAACGAACUCUUCGGAGUUAGUGGCGGACGGGUGAGUAACACGUGGGAACGUGCCUUUUGGUUCGGAAUAACUCAGGGAAACUUGUGCUAAUACCGACUGUGCCCUUCGGGGGAAAGAUUUAUCGCCAUUAGAGCUGCCCGCGUCGGAUUAGCUAGUUGGUGAGGUAACGGCUCACCAAGGCGACGAUCAGUAGCUGGUCUGAGAGGAUGACCAGCCACACUGGGACUGAGACACGGCCCAGACUCCUACGGGAGGCAGCAGUGGGGAAUCUUGCGCAAUGGGCGAAAGCCUGACGCAGCCAUGCCGCGUGAAUGAUGAAGGUCUUAGGAUUGUAAAAUUCUUUCACCGGGGACGAUAAUGACGGUACCCGGAGAAGAAGCCCCGGCUAACUUCGUG
rnacentral:rRNA from 1 species